GACUUCCGUCGUGCGUGUGUGAUGUCACUGCUUCAGAAAGGCCCCGCCCCCUCAGCAACAAGUCAGCGUUCACGCACACUGCGAGUGCAGACAUGAGUCGGGCGCUCGUAUGUGUGCUGACGGCUGCUUGGAGCUUGGGAAUCAGCGGCCAGACGGUGUACCAGCACAAACGGGGCGUUCACACCGUGGAGGGUGCAGCAGUGACGCUUGACUGCAGCUACGACAGUUCGGCAUACUACAUCUUCUGGUACAAACAAGAAGCCAACGCAUCGCCUGACUUCAUCCUGAGCACAAAUCAGUUAGGCAAGAAUGCGGAAAAGUACGGUGAAAGGUUUCGCUGCAGCAUGGAUGCCAGCGCUCGGCAAGCUCCUCUGCAUAUCGAACGCGUGAAGCCCAGCGACUCGGGAGUCUUCUACUGCGCCCUGCAGCCCACGCUGACACAUUCACUGGCGUGCCUGCACAAAAACACCUGCACUCGCCUCAUCGCAUGAGUGACAUUGGGGGCGUGGCCUCACCGGAGUAGAUUGGUCUCACUGUCGCAAGAGCUGCAACUCAGCGUGACGACAGGCUGCUACCGUGCUCGAGUAUGUUCUUUUAUUGUCUCGUUUUUUUACUUCACUCUGCUCUGUAGUGGGUCUGAUACUCUGCUUUUUAGGUUAUCCCAUCCGAUAUGACAUGUAGUUUUCUUCUGGUAUUAUCCAAUUUCUUCUCUUCAUUUCUCUUCUCAAGUUAUGUUGACAGUGCAGCUCAGACGUCAAUUAGGAGGCCAACGACAGCUGACGCUGCUCACCAGUGUAAUGGCAGCCUACUUGGCAAAUGAAGCUGCAAUAAAAUGACAAAAGUAGCGAAACGACAUCAAACUCCAUCGACAUAUUGCACAUGUACAAUCCAAAUGCAGAGUACUAUCUACAUGAAUCCAUCAGGCUGCUGUCACAGACUGAGUCCGCCGCUGUUGUAUAAUCACGUGACCACAAUGAGCCAAUCGAAUAGUUUGUUCACAGGAAGAGAUUUUUUU